UGGUGGAGUGAUUUGUCUGCUUAAUUGCGAUAACGAACGAGACCUUAACCUGCUAACUAGCGACGCUAGCCUGGCUGGCGGGCCGCUUCUUAGAGGGACUGUUGGCAACAAGCCAGCGGAAGUUUGAGGCAAUAACA
rnacentral:rRNA from 1 species